AGGACUGUAGCUCAGUGGUAGAACAUCUGUUUUGCAUGCAGAAGGUCCCAGGUUCGAUCCCUGGCACUUCCA
rnacentral:tRNA from 1 species